rnacentral:rRNA from 1 species
AAGGAUCAUUAUUGAAUACGAUUGGUACUGAUGCUGGCCCUUCACUGGGCAUGUGCUCGUCCAUCUAUUUAUCUUCUCUUGUGCACAUCUUGUAGUCUUGGAUGAACCCUUUCGCACUCGUGCGGUCUGGGAGUUGCGAAAUUAAACCUUUGCUUCUCCUGCUUGUCCAAGGCUAUGUUUUCAUAUACACUAUAAAGUUACAGAAUGUCUAUUAACGACUUGUGCUUGUCACGGUCAUUAAACCUAUACAACUUUCAGCAACGGAUCUCUUGGCUCUCCUAUCGAUGAAGAACGCAGCGAAAUGCGAUAAGUAAUGUGAAUUGCAGAAUUCAGUGAAUCAUCGAAUCUUUGAACGCACCUUGCGCCCUUUGGUAUUCCGAAGGGCAUGCCUGUUUGAGUGUCAUUAAAUUAUCAACCUUGCUCGCUUUUACCGGUUUGAGUUAGGCUUGGAUGUGAGGGUCUUUGCUGGCUUCCUUCAGUGGAUGGUCUGCUCCCUUUAAAUGCAUUAGUGGGAUCUCUUGUGGACCGUCACUUGGUGUGAUAAUUAUCUAUGCCAUCUUGACUUUGAAGCAAACUAAUGGGAACCUGCUCAUAACCGUCCUUUUCAAGGACAACUCUUGACAUUUUGACCUCAAAUCAGGUAGGACUACCCGCUGAACUUAA